GACGAACGCUGGCGGCGUGCCUAAUACAUGCAAGUAGAACGCACGGUUUAUACCGUAGCUUGCUACACCAUAGACUGUGAGUUGCGAACGGGUGAGUAACGCGUAGGUAACCUGCCUGGUAGCGGGGGAUAACUAUUGGAAACGAUAGCUAAUACCGCAUAAUAUUAAUUAUUGCAUGAUAAUUAAUUGAAAGGUGCAAUUGCACCACUACCAGAUGGACCUGCGUUGUAUUAGCUAGUAGGUGAGGUAACGGCUCACCUAGGCGACGAUACAUAGCCGACCUGAGAGGGUGAUCGGCCACACUGGGACUGAGACACGGCCCAGACUCCUACGGGAGGCAGCAGUAGGGAAUCUUCGGCAAUGGACGAAAGUCUGACCGAGCAACGCCGCGUGAGUGAAGAAGGUUUUCGGAUCGUAAAGCUCUGUUGUAAGAGAAGAACGGGUGUGGGAGUGGAAAGUUCACACUGUGACGGUAUCUUACCAGAAAGGGACGGCUAACUACGUG
rnacentral:rRNA from 1 species